rnacentral:lncRNA from 1 species
GAAUCUCUUCGGGUGCUAAUCAAAUGGCCGCUGUAAGGGAUCUCCACAAAGCCACGAAGAAGCCAGGCCUUUCCGAGACUGUAACCGCUGUGCAGAUAGCGCCGAUCCCUGGGUGUACUGAGGUCUUCGUGAGAUUCAGGGCUAGGACUCGUGUGGCUGUGUCAUGUUCCGAAUGAAGCUUAAAAGGUGAUCUUUGAGAACUGAAGACUUGAGACCCCUCCAUGGGCCCAGGGGCUGCCAACACUAAUAAUUUCAGAGACUUAGAAUCUGAGGAGAAUCUCCAAUCUAAGGGGAAACGGAAGAGGGUCAGGAAAGAGAAGGGGCAAGCUUAAGUGACUCAGAAUCCAAGAAGCAAGUCUCAUAGGAGAGCUGCGAUCGAGGUUACCAUACAGUAUCCAAUCGUCUCAACCUUCCCAUCCAUACUUCCAUGCUGUCUUUCCUCUGAAUGCAAGGAAAACCGGUUACACAAACGCUGACAAAAGAAUGUCAGACUUGAAUGGAAAUUCGGAGCAGUACCCAUCUGGUCCAUACAGCGAACUCCCAGUGAGCACCACGGCAAUGUAACUAAUUCAUGUUUCCCUCUUGGCAGUGCGGGAAAGGCAGCAAAGAGCCAAGUUUUGUAUCUUAACAGUUCUUUAGUUAAGAGGCACACGCUAUUUUGCAUUCUUCCCUACUUUUGAUAAUUUUUGGC